UAAUCUAUUGAAAACUUUAGA
rnacentral:piRNA from 1 species